GUUCUCCUUUUAUUCCUCUUUUGUUGGACUAAUAUUUUCCGAGACUUUGUACUUGAUGGUACUAAUAUACAUACUAUAUGAUAUGUAUAUUAGUACCAUCAAGUACAAAGUCUCAAAAUAUUAGUCCAACAAAAGAGGAAUAAAAGGAGAACA